rnacentral:misc_RNA from 1 species
UCUCCGUAGGUGAACCUGCGGAGGGAUCAUUACUGAGUGAGGGUUUAACCGCCCGACCUCCAACCCUUUGUGAAUCGUACUCGUUGCUUCGGGGGCGACCCUGCCGUCCGCGGCUGAGCGCCCCCGGUGGCCAAUUAUUAAACUCUGCAUCUCUUGCGUCGGAGUCUUAAAGAAAUUUAAACAAAACUUUCAACAACGGAUCUCUUGGUUCUGGCAUCGAUGAAGAACGCAGC